GAAAAUUGCCUCGACAUUCUCCGCACUCGAAAAUCUUCGCUGAGCUGAGCCGCAUAUCGAGGUGAACUCCCAGGCGUGCGCGCCGUCGUCGACAACUGGUGGAUAUCAAAAUGUGGUUCAAAAGCUGUGCUUUAAAACACAACAUCGUGUCUAAAAGAAAGUGUUUUAGAGGGGCAUCAUUGACUCCAAAGGAAUAUGCAGAUACUUCAAAGGGCCUUCAAUGCGACAAAACUGCCAAUAACUACUGUCCUGAGUGUGGGUUCCGGCUGUUGGAGUGUGCAAUAAGGAACCAGCACACCGAUAUGAUUGAGUUGUUGCUUAAGAAUGGAGCUGAAAUUUUUCGAGAUAAUGACAUUGGAAGAGGCAUUGAGACAAUGGACGCCUUAGUUAAGCUUGGUUAUAAAGAAGUUGAAGGCGAGUUUUUGUACACUUCAAGCUCUGUGGGGAGAUUCAACGUUUGGGCUACCUUUUCAGUCAAAAAUCGUGGGAUUGCUAUAUUUUAUGGUGGCAAGAGUCGAAUGAAUGUCCAGGGCAAGGAACCAGAUGUGUAUUUCGCAUGGGGCAAGGCUACUUUCAAGCAGGAAGGAUCUGUGUUACGGAUCAAAGAUGGAUUGGAGACUUCCUUGCUGGAACCAGCAGAACCUCCAUAUUUGGGUAGCAAAGAGAUAUUCUACUGGUUUUGCAACCAGUUAAAUGAGGCUAUUGGUUUGGGUUCUGUGGUGGAUGAUGGCUUUGAUCUCUCGGAUAUAGAGAUGGCACUCAAAGCUUCACUGGACCAUUUUGGACAGCCAUCUUCACAGCCUUCAAUGGCUGUUGGUUUGGGUUCUGUGGUGGAUGAUGGGUUUGAUCUCUCUGAUAUAGAGAUGGCACUCAAAGCUUCAUUGGACCAUUUUGGACAGCCAUCUUUACAGCCUUCUGCACCACCUUUGCCCGAAGAUGCCUGCACCAUCUGUUUUGAUCAUAGAGUUGACACUGCCUUUGUUCCUUGUGGUCAUCUUAUCUGCUCACCAUGUGCAGAAAAGAUUCAGCAUCAGAACUUGCUGUGUCCCUUCUGCCAUGAGGUGGUGGAGAACUUUGCAAUUCCUAGGAUUUGAUUGCAAAAGGAAGAUAGCUUUUGAUGGGAAGCCGCAAAGAGUUUGAUGGAGACUAUUUUGAUCUGCAUGCAUCAUACAUAUCAACACGUACAAUUUGUCUUGUUACCUUCUUGGGUUUGAAGAAAGAAAGGAAAUAUUUGGGAUGGAUGGAAAAGAGAGACGAGGUGCAGAUGGAUCAAGCAGCAGUUUUUGAGGAAGCUGCAUUUUGAUAUUGAUGAUGAUGAAUUUGUUUGGUGUUGACUAUGGAGAUUUACUGCAUUUGGAUUUUAUUGAAAUAGGUACUCUUCCAGAUUAAAAUGAGAGUUGGGUUUGAAUUCCAACCCUUUUGAUUGAUGAGAGAGCGAGCAUACGCUUCUAACUGGUUGUAGUAUUUUGGUAGAUUAAAGUUAGAAUGCUACUAAGAAGCAUGAUGAUAGCACGGAAAAUAUGACUUGUAUAAGAACCACAGCUAUAAUGUGACAUGUAUAAGAGCCACAGCUAUAAUAUGACAUAUAUAAGAACCACAGCUAUAAGCAUUUCUUUCUUUUUUGGAAAUAAAGGUUGAUUAGUAGAUCAUUAAGAUAUGAGCUGGUUAUU